GAUGAACGCUGGCGGCGUGCCUAAUACAUGCAAGUCGAGCGAACAGACGAGGAGCUUGCUCCUCUGACGUUAGCGGCGGACGGGUGAGUAACACGUGGAUAACCUACCUAUAAGACUGGGAUAACUUCGGGAAACCGGAGCUAAUACCGGAUAAUAUAUUGAACCGCAUGGUUCAAUAGUGAAAGACGGUUUUGCUGUCACUUAUAGAUGGAUCCGCGCCGCAUUAGCUAGUUGGUAAGGUAACGGCUUACCAAGGCAACGAUGCGUAGCCGACCUGAGAGGGUGAUCGGCCACACCGGAACUGAGACACGGUCCAGACUCCUACGGGAGGCAGCAGUAGGGAAUCUUCCGCAAUGGGCGAAAGCUUGACGGAGCAACGCCGCGGGAGUGAUGAAGGUCUUCGGAUCGUAAAACUCUGUUAUUAGGGAAGAACAAAUGUGUAAGUAACUAUGCACGUCUUGACGGUACCUAAUCAGAAAGCCACGGCUAACUACGU
rnacentral:rRNA from 1 species